rnacentral:lncRNA from 1 species
GAGGUUAUUUUCGUCAAUUCAUUUUAAAACAUCGCCAUCACGAUCGAAACCGAAGAACCUAACGUGGAGACCGGAAUAGCCGGUAAAAGUCAUUAACAAAGUGUACGUGGACCCCACAUGUCCCUCAGAACUGUAAAAUAGUGACCGACACGCGUCCGGCCUUAUCCAUUUCCCACACAAUUUUCCCUUUAAAUUCUGAAUCUAACUCUCCAACUGUCAAGUGUAAUUGUUAACCAAAGUUCCCAAUCCAACGUCUUUCCCAAGCUUUUUCUCUCUCUCAAAAUGUCCACCAAUCUCAUCCAUUUUCGGCCCACCCUGAUCGGGCCGCAUGCCACCGGAAACCGAAAGCCCGACUCAGUUACCCGGAAAGGCUCGGCGUCCAAGUGGUGGACCCCCCUAUUCGGGUGGUCCUCCGAACCCGACUACAUUGACUCCCACUCGAAGACCGAGUCCCGGGACAAGGCCGAGAGCGGAGCGGACUCGGGCCCCGACUCGAAACCGUGGCGAUCUCGGUUCGCGCCUGGUUGCUUCACGGAGGAGAAGGCGAGGCAGCUCCGGAUCAAGACCAUGGAGACGGAGUCGUUUCACGACGCCAUGUACCACUCAUCAAUCGCCUCCAGGCUGGCCUCCGAUUUCAAGAACCGAUCCGAUCUAUGAGCCGGCGACUUAGUUGUAAUAAAGCCCCAAAUCUUCUAUCUUUCUUUUUUCAUAAAGUAGGAUUUUAGGGGUGGAAAAUGUGAAAGAUGGCGACGUCUAUGAUGUAAUUAACGCUUGUUUUUAGUUAAUUGCGUGGCUUAGACGAUUAAGCAUGUAAUUAUUGAUGUGUGUGUAUAUAUAAAAUCCUUUUCCUUUAUUAUUGGAUUUGCUAUUUCGAUUACAAGAUAUUGGAUUAUUUGCUUGUAUGAGCUUUGCCUGAUAGAGAUGGUGAUGAUAAUGGCGAUGACUGAUUAUGAUGAAUGAUGCUGGUUGAGCCUAACCAUAAGUAAUUUGAUCUGUUUGGAUUGGUUCAACCGUUCAAUAUUUCAGGUUGGGAAUUCGAAUCCCCCUCCUUAAAUAUUUGGGUGUUCCUAUCCCUUCCCUCCCGAACCCCAAUCCCCCCUGCCGAUAAGUUCAAUAUUUGGGUGCCCCUCUCCGUUUCCUCCCGAGCUCGAAUCCCCUUCCGAUAUAAGGGUGCCCUUCCCCCCCGAAUCCCCCUACUGAUAAGUUCAAAAUAUCGCUCAAGCAAGGGCUAAUGUGGGGCUCAUCAAAUUAAGUUCAAGUUGGAUACGGUAUAUUUGAAUCUUGGGUAGUAUCCUGCAACUUAGAAAAGUAUCCAAACUGGGAAUAUGCCAAUGAGAAUCGCACUGAAUGAAUGCAUAGGGUAAUGAAACUCACGACGGUCAACUCCAUUGACAUGAUCCAUGACAGGGACACCAAACAAGUGCCCUAAUGGCAUAUUUUGGAUGAUUGGGGCCUGAAUAUUUCUCAAAUUAUAAAGCACAGAUGUAACAGAUAAGAGGCCAGCUCCCCUGCAGCUAAGCCAGUAUGAAAUAUCCUGCAUAACUAGCAGAGUGUUGACCAACCCGUCUUAGCACAUCAAGCAUCCACAAAAACCAUAACAAACCUUACAAUUCACAAAACCGGUUUAGUCAUUCUGUAUUUAUUUCACUUGCAAUUAUAAGCAGAAAAAUGAUUCAGAUUCUUACACCUCCGUCUGGUGAAAAGAAAAUGAAAUGUAUUGUGUUGUAAAUUGUAUCACUCCAUGAUAAAUGGAUAUAAUCUGAAACUACACUAAAAAAAAUAUCAAAGUUGGCUUCAGCUAUUGUUGGUGCCACUGGAACAUCGGGGUGCAACAAACCCACAAAUCAAUUCAAGCCAUGCUCCGCACAUUUACUUGCUCUCAACAUCAUACAGAUCAGUUCUGAAUACGUGCAUCAAGGAUAAACAAUAGAAUGCGGAGAAGACAAUAACAACAAGGAGAGAGAAAAAUAGUUGGGGUUUUGAAGAGAUCAUAAAACUAGAAAAUUAUUGAGUACCAAUUACAGGAACAUAAAUCUGAUUCUGGAAUUCCAAUUCUCAAAAGGAACCACAUCAGGAUGCAGUUGCAUAACUUCGUCUCACAAGCACACAAGACAGAAUGAGUCAUACUGUUAUGUAUUCAACUGAGGUUGAAGGUAAUCUAUUUCAACAACUGACAUCUCCAAUCCAUUAUCACAUUAUUCAUACAAAUUCUAACUAGAAAGUGAAAAUAUUUCUCGAAAACCAAUUCCCCUGCCCUUGCUCCUCUCACAUGUGGUCUACCACCAGAACAUACACUGGUGGUACAAUGAGAGAAGAGCAGACGGGCACAUUUUGCAUGCUUUUUUAUACAAGGACUUCAUCUCAUGCAAAGAAAGAAAUGUGCUUUACCAUCCCCUUCUGCUCCAUCAUUAUAGUAUAGAUUCUACUCUCAUUUAUAGGCGCUCUCAAAGAGCUGGGAACAAAAAAGGAUAAAAAAAAGUGCCCCAUCUUAUUUACACACACACAUCCCAUAACAUUUCAUAUUCCAUGGCCGCUCAUUGCAAAAGCACAUCCCUAGAGAUCCAAACUUGUGGCAGAAAAUACUAAAAUCUAUCAACUUUGGUUCCAAUUUCUAAGCACGGAAGUAAUUAUUUCCAACUAUUAACCUCAGUUCACAAGGUAUAUGCAAUGAUCAAAACUUUUAAUUUCUUCUAGCAUGGUGAAUUUUGAGCAGCGUAGCACCAACCUAUCUAUUCAAUACAUAAUCUAUCAAUCAUAAAAAGAACUCACCAUAAAUUUAAAAAAGGAUACACCAAAUAAAAGCCAUGAGCAAAUGCUCCCACCAACACAGCAGUAAACAAACGGUCCCGUACAACUGGGUUCUUACGCAGCGACAGUCGAACUGCAAAAUCAAAUAUCCACAGAGAAAAUUGUUUAAGGGACAAGACCCAGAUGGGAAAUAUAGAUAAAAUCAAGUAAAAAAAGAGUUGAGAAAAUUGCAAAACUUACUGAGCGGAAGAACAGGGGCAUAUAUAAGAGGAACCAAGAACUUAAAUUGGGACCCCGGGCUUCUCUUUCUUAUAGCAGCCUGCCUUUCAACAUAUUCAUGAACACAAUUUGAUAUCAAUACUAAUAAAGCGAACAAAUUUCUAUGAAUUGAAAGGCAAAAACGCAGACGCACAGAAGAAAUAUACGUUGUGGGUUUCGCCGGACUUACUGAUUAGAGGGAUCGGACGAUGAAGGCCACGAGGCCAUGGCGGGGUCGAAGGGUUUCAGAUCUGUUGUGAUGUGGUGGUCUAAAACUUACUGCCGGCAGCCUUUUUUCUUGUUUAAUCUUCGACGACUGUAUUAUUCAUUUUAAAUUAAAUUUGUUUACACCCAAAAAUGCAAUUUUUUUCUUUUCCUUUUUUUUCUUGUUGCCACCGUAGCAAGCCGAAAAUCACGGCGUGAUGCUACAAAAUUAUUUAUUUUUCGUUUAUAAUUACAUAAUUCAAUUUCAUAAAAUUAUUAUUAUAAAAAAAUAUAUAUAUGUGGGACCGUCUAGUGGGUGAAAUUUCGAAAAUAGAAAUAGUUCGUUCUUAUGGAACGUUCAGGAAACAAGAGUAAUCAAAUCCAACGGCGUAGAUGAUAGCGUCAAUCUAAAGCCACGCGCUCAGAGCCAGAGAUCCAUAUAAGUGCCUCCCUCCUCACCUCUCUAAACUUAAGUCGCCGUCUUCGUCUCCUUGUCUCUGUCACUCCACUGCUCUUAGAUUCUCUCUCCCCACUCACUACCUUGAACCCAAUGGUAACUCUCUAUCUCUAUCUCUAUCUCUAUCUCGCUGAUAUUUUUCCCCUUACGUUAGGGUUUAGGUGUUCAGGAGAUCGAUCUUUUUCGUUUCGCUUUAGGUCAUAUUAAAUUAUCAAUAUAUAUGUAUUUUUUUUCAUGUCUUUCAAAUUUGUUCUGUAGGCUUUGCCAAACCAGCAGACUGUUGAUUAUCCAAGCUUUAAGCUUGUCAUCGUCGGCGAUGGAGGCACUGGUAAAUUUUACGUUUCCCUGUUUUCUGUCUGAUUUUCUGAAUAGCUGUUUUGUUUGACUAUCCUGGCACAAGUAUUUCAUGUUUAGAAUUAGGUUUUUGAGAAGAAUGUGAUUCGCCUGGAUAAAAAGUUCACUGUUUCCUGGUAGUUUUUGUAUUGGAUUUUGAUAGAUUUGAUUAACACUAAUCAGCACAAGGGCAAACAAAAACAAAACCAGAAAAAUACUUUGUUCUACUAUGGUCCCUGCCUGAGAUGCUAAAGAAAUCAAUUCCCGUAAAAGUAAAGAAUUUCCGUGGAUUAUUUUUUUCUUGUGUGAGAUUUGUUUUUCUGUGAAGUUGAUGAUUUUUCUGGAGUUAUUUCAGUCUAAAACAAAUGCGGUCAUGUUCGAGGCUUUCCAGCAUGUUUUUCAGUAUAUGUAUAUGUUCGUACCUUCGUUUUAAUGGGAAUUUCGGAGCUAUAAUGUGCUGUGUUUUGAUUUGGACUUGGGCUGAAUGGUGAUGAAUUGUGCAGGAAAAACCACUUUUGUGAAGAGGCAUCUCACUGGAGAGUUUGAGAAGAAAUAUGAACGUAAGACUCCUCUUUGACAUUUCACUACAUGGUUCAAUUUAUUUAUUAAUAUUUUUCUUUUUUUGAUUGAGUUAUGUUUGGUUAUACUUGCAAACAGCAACCAUUGGUGUGGAGGUUCAUCCUUUGGAUUUCUUCACAAAUUGCGGAAAGAUCCGCUUUUACUGCUGGGAUACUGCUGGGCAAGAGAAGUUUGGUGGUCUUCGGGAUGGCUACUAGUAAGUGGAGAUUUAUUUUGAUGUUGCUAUGAUUUAUUUGGUAUUUCAUGUCCACAUAAAGUCCUGUAAUCCGCUAAUGACACUUAAUAUAUUUAGUGUCUUUCAGAACAUUUUACUGUAUCUUUUAAUUUGUUAUACAUGUGAAAUAAUGUUAGGAUAAACUAAUUGUGACAACGUACACCUUAAUGGUAUCUAGUUGUAUUUGAUGUUGUGAUGGAUAAAGGAAUUUUUUAUGAAGGGAGAUGGGACUGAAAGAGAUGCAAUCACCUUUUUCAUUUUUUCAUUUUUACGUAAUAUUAGCAUGGUAUAAAUGAUAGACACAGAAAUAUUUGUUAGUAGCAAGAACAAUAUUAAAAUAUCGCACGGAAGCUUUUAUGCUUUAGUGAAGAGUAUAAAUCUCAUUCUUAUGAUUUUGUGAUUAACUGCAACCUCUAUGUUUUUCACCAACUUUUUCUCGGGUGGUUCACAAGAUUAAUUGCCUUUUCAUUGUGCUGCUUAGUUGAAGUUCUGACCUGAAAUUAUCUGUUAAAUUAUGCAGCAUUCACGGGCAAUGUGCAAUCAUUAUGUUUGACGUCACAGCUAGGUUGACAUACAAGAAUGUUCCUACAUGGCACCGUGAUCUCUGUCGGUGAGUUGACUAAAUUUCUAGAUGUCAUGUCAUGUCUGUUCUUUCUUUUAUUGUUUCAUUUUUCCAGCCGUUGAUGAUGGCUUGGUAUUUUUGGCUCUAAAAAUUGUAAUUUCAGGGUCUGUGAGAACAUACCCAUUGUUCUCUGCGGAAACAAGGUUGAUGUGAAGAACAGGCAGGUUAAAGCCAAGCAGGUUACCUUCCACAGGAAGAAGAAUCUGCAAUACUAUGAAAUAUCGGCAAAGAGCAACUACAAUUUUGAGAAGCCUUUCCUCUACCUGGCUAGGAAGCUUGCAGGGUAAUUAAGAUAAUAUAUUCUCUUUUUGUCUUUUACUUUUUCCUUUCAGUAUUUGAGUGUUGAUAAUAAUACUAAAGGUUAAUAUUUGCUGGUUUUAUUUUAGUGACACAAAUCUUCAUUUCGUUGAGUCUCCUGCCCUUGCUCCUCCAGAAGUACACAUUGACUUGGCUGCUCAACAACAGUAAGAACUAAGAACUUUGUCUAUGCUGGUCUUCUUUGAUGUAAAUCUUGAAAUUGUUCGACUCCUAUGUUCUUGAGGCUACCAUAAUUUAACUUUUCAAUUCAAACUGUUAAGCGUCAUAGCUUCACGAACCCCUUGUGGCCAUUGAGUUCUAUUAAGAGCUGAAUUUUCUGAAGAAGAUUUUCUUAUGUCGGUGUUUGUUGCUUCUUGCAGGCAUGAAGCGGAGCUUGCACAGGCAGCCAAUCAGCCUCUUCCUGAUGACGAUGAUGAUGCAUUUGAGUAGAGGGCUUUAAAUACUUUGCUAGGAUGGUUUUCAUUCAACCUUUAUUUCUAUUUAGGCGUUGUCAUUGGUAGUUGUCCUGGAAAUGUUGACAAUAUAAUGGAGGAUUUGAUUUUCGGAAAUGUCAUAUAACAAUGACUCUAUUUAGGCGGAUUUAAAUUCAGCUAAUAUGAGCUAUUGAUUAUCAAUGGUUGUGCUGGUAGUAAAAUCAGAUGUCGUUGCCUUUUAAGCAUCCUUCAUUGAAGGCUGCUCUGGUUUGCCUUUGUUGUUCAUGGCUUUCUAUAUUUCUCGUCUGUAGAUGAAUCUCUAACGCAAGGUCUUGUCCAAAACAGUGGAUCUGGGUUUUGGACGGUUUGGAAUGAGAUGGCGCCGAAGGCCCUCUUGAGCAAUUGGUGAGGCGCUGUUAGGCCUUAAUGUACGGCUUUAAGUUCAAAUAUAGGGAUUCCAAGUCCAUCUAGUGGGAAGCGGUAUCCCAUUCCUUUUGAACAAAUAUAGGCUUUUAUAAUGAGGAGCCUAUGUUAAGCGGGUGUGUUUAGGAAUUAAAUUCAGCAUUUUUAUUGAUCAGAUAGGGGAUCAAACCGAACCGAAUUGAAUCGAAUGGGCUUUUCAGGCUUCGGAGGAGAGGAGUAAAAUUUUGUAGCACAUUUGAGCCCGGCUAAGAAAAGGGCUGGGCCAAACCUCAGAAAUAAAAAGGCUCCACAGUAGCAAAGAUGAAGCAUAUGUCCAUACAUGUAUGUAGUGUGCAACAUGAUAAAGAUUAGAACGUUGACACAUAUAUGAUAAGACAAUAAUAAUAACUGGGAAGUGGGUUGGAAGAUUCUCUAAAAGCAAAGCAAAGCAAAGAUGAGCUACAAGGCAUGUGGUACCACCACCACUGCCAGGCGACUUUGAAAGCCCUGUUUUUAAAAAGCUCCUCAAUCAAUGUAAGAGCAAGCAAGCAGCAGGAUUCUUUUUUUGAUGAUUGAUGUUGAUUUUUCUAGUUCCAGUGGUACCAGGCCGGCAGCUUUGUUGCAAAAGCAAGAGCAUAUGGUACUUUGUGAUAUGUCGUCUCGUCUGAGAGAGAGAGAGAGAGAGAGAGAGAGAGAGAGAGGAGGAGGAGGAGGAGUAGAUAUUUGUGUGUUGUGUUCGUGUGUUAGAUAGAUUUUGGGUGCGUUCCUUAUUUCCAAUGAUGUGGUUUUUGUUGUGUCGUAACUUAGAAUGAGGAAAAGCAGCAGCAACACUUAAUUGCAUUACAUUACAAGUGUACUAUAAGCUUAAUUCUUGCCUCAUCACGACAUGUGAAGUCCACAUGGCAUCUGGUCUGCCUGCCUGCCCUCUCUGGGUGCUUCUGGGCCGUACACCCAACACAAAAACAAGGACCCCCACCUCCCCCAACCCAAACCCACCCACUUGCUGUGUCUCAGGAACUACUCAAGUAUAACUUAAGCAAAUCUGUUUGCUAUUUUGUUCUUUUUCUUUUCUUUCAAAGCCAACAAAUAAAAACGAAAAAAAAUGAGCCCCAACAAAUAGGACUUGUCCUAAUCGGUGUCGGUUUUCCAAGCACACUCGAAGAGACCCAAUGUCUAUCCACAUCAUUCCAACCACAAGUGGGGCAAGUGAAAUAGCUGGUCUUACCCCCCUUGCCAUUUGCCAGCAUAUGCCUAUCUACAACACUAUGAUAUAUGUUUUGUUAUAAGUUUUGUUAUGUGAGAUUGUGGUAUUGUGGGGAUGAUGGCCCUUAACUUCAAGGACACUGUCCAAAACUUCAGGGGCUCAUCUCAUUGAAUGAAUGAAUGAAUACAAGUAUUUGGGAGAUUAGAGAGAGCUAAAUUUUAAAACAAAGGUGGCUUUCAUUGUCGGUAGGUGGUCGGGUGUGGCUUAAAUAUUAGUUCAUGGCCUUUGGGCUAAGGCUAGCUAGCAGGGCCACAAUAUCAUAUCCCAAUUGGCAAUAGCAAGCAACUAGUCCCCUCCCCUCCCCUUCAGUUGCUGCUUCUCUCAUUUUCAUAGAGAGAGAUCGUCAUCAUCUUUUUUUCAAAAGACAAAACUAGUCAUCUUCUACUUGCUAUUAUCCUCAAUGGGCUCUCUUUGCAAUGACUUCUCCUGUCUUGCUUCCUUUUGGUGAAAUGGCUAUUAAUUCUUUCUUUUUCUUUUCUGAAUCAUGAUACCUCCUCCACCCUCAUCAUCACUAGCUCUUGUUUUUAGUGUCCAUAUCUUUCUGUAACUUCCUUAUAUUCGUUUAUUUCUCAUAAGUUUUGGCAUAUGUAUUCAAUUUUAUUAAUAUUGUUGGAUAUGUAAAAGCUCCUUGCACUAGUUGGUUAAGGUAUUAGUGUGCAUGUCCUUUUGCACUCGAGUUCGAUCUCUCUUCCUAUGUAUUGGUAUAAUUAUCUAGGUUAUUAGGUAGGAACUUACUUACACAUCAUGUGUCACAUAGUCACUUUUUUUUUAAAAUUACGUGUCCUAGUUCUUUAAUUAAUCAUAUUACCACUAAUAAAAGUUAAUUAAGAUGCAUUUGCUAGCUAGCUAUGUUCUUUGUUGGCACAACAUAUAUACAUGCAAAUAAAUAGGUAUGGGAAAGGGGAGAGGGGGGAGUAGGAAAAUAAUAAUGAAAGUAGCUAGGUAGGUUAGCUAGAUAGAAGAGGAGAUGAGAAGCCCCUCCUCCUCCUCCUCCUCCUCUCAUCUGUCCUCCUCAUGUCAUGGAUGGGUAGGGUAAGGAAAGCAUGAUGAUGUGAGGAAUUCAUUGUAGCUCUGCUUAGAGAGGAGCCUCAGCCUGCUGUCUGUGCAUCUAAUAAUAAAUAAUAAAAAAUAAUAUUUCAUGUAAACUUGAAACAGGACAUGUUCUGCAAAGGAGGCAUGUGCUUACGCAUAACGGGAACUGCCAUCAAUGAAACCAUAGCAAGCAACUGUCCUUGUCUAUGCAUCCUUCAUGUAUAUAUGCAGCAUCUAUUUCUCAUGCCCAAACCUGAAGUUAAUGCCAUCAUUCCCAUUUCACAAUUCAUAUAUAUAUAUAUAUAUAUAUAUAUAACAGAAAUUUUCUUAUGCAGAUAUCCGAAUGUUAUUAUUGUGCAAACGCCAUGUAUUUUCUACUAUUUCUCCCUGUUUACAAUGGAAUCUGCACGAUAAUAACAUGCGGACAUCCGGAGGAGAGAAUAAUUAUAUAUAUAUAUAUAUAUAUAUAUUCUCCUAUGAGGACGUCAUGUAUUUUCUAUUAUUCCUCUUUCUGUUUUCCUCUCUAUUUAGGCCUCAUUUGGGAUUGUUUUUUUUUUUUGUUGCCAAAAACAUGCUUCACUUUAAAAUUAAGCAGUUAAAGGUGUUUGGUAAAAAUAAAAUAUCUCGAUUAUUUUAAAAUUAGUGGCAUUUUGACGGUAACUUUUAAAAGCAAGCUCUGGAUUACUUUUCAAAGUUGCUUUCAAAAGAAACAAUGAUAAGUCUUUAAUGAAUUUUUUAAAUUCCCAAAAUACCAUCAUUAAUUUUUUUAAAUGACACCACAUCCUCCUCCGCCGCCACCAUCACAACCACCACAUCCUCCUCCUCCAUCUCCACCACCUCCACCUCCACAACCGCCAUCCCCACCACCACCACUACCACAACCACCACCUCCACCACCAGCAUCUUCACCUUCAUUUCUUUCACCACCUCCACUAUCACCACAUAAUUAACACAUAAUACUUUCAACAACAUGUCUAUUUGAGUCAUUAUUCACAAUUACAACAGUUUUAUAUUAAAAUUUACCAAACAGUUUUGACAUUACUUUUUGUACUAACAACACUUUAAAAGAAUUAUUUACCAAACAUGAAGUUGCUUUAUUUUACAGCUAAUUAUUUUCAACGCACAAUAGAAUCAACUUUUUUUAAAAGUGACAACAAUCUCAAACUCACCCUUACAAUGACAUCUACAUGACAAUAAUUUGCGGACAUCAAAUAACUAUAUAUAUGUAUAUUUAUUUAUUUAUACUUGUAGCUAUUAUAGUUCAAUUCCUCUCUCUCUCUCUCUCUCUCUCUCUCUCUCUCUCUCACACACACACACACACACACACACACAGAGCUUAGUUGUUGUGAUGAUCUGGAUCCCAUGCUUUGUUUCUUUUUCAAAAUUCAACUUCAUUGUCACUUGAAAACGCAAGGACUUUUGGUCCUCUCAUCUAAUAUUCUCAGCUACCUGCUUUUACUUUGCUGCUGCAGUCCAGUUUGAGGCUCUGGUUGUGCAAAUGCACUCAAUCCAUAUUUACUGUUAUUAGUUAGUUUAGAGCCCAUCACAUUCACAUCACAUCAUGGAAUGACAUGCCACUGCCCUUCCAAUGAGUAGUAGCUUAGCUUCUGUGUGAGAAUCCUGCAAAAAGUAAAUAAAAGAUCCUUUUAACCUCCCCAUUCCCUCUUUCUUAAGAGUUGGGGUCAAAUUAUUUACUUGAAAAAAUAAUAAUACCAACAUAAAGUUCAUUGAAACAUUCCAAACCUUUGAUUGAAAUGAAAGUUGAAACACUCUGCUGUCAAUAAAUAAUUAAUUCCAUAAGUAUAUAGUAUAUAUCAAAUUUAAUAUUUGAGGGAGGGUGUCACACAUGAUUCACUGUCUGUAAACAUUCCUCCAAACAUAUUCCUAAUUCCUACCAGUAAAUAUAAAUAUAAACAUUGCCUUGCAUAAUCAUGCAACAACACCACGUGCCUCGAUCUCACACCCUUCAUUUUAUAUAGAAUAAUCUAGAAACACAUAAUUCGAUCCAAAUCAAGAUUAAACAAGAGAUUAAGCAGUAAAUCAGGCAACUUAUUACAAGACAUGGUCGUUGAAAUGGACAAGGAUGGUUUUAUAGAGACAAAACAUUUGCCACUUUUCUUAAACGAAAAUGUAGCACGCACUUGCUUCUUUGCUUUACAAUAUCUAUCUCUGCCGGUAAAAUCUUGGGAAGGUAGAAAAAGGUGGUAAAAUAAAUAGCCAUCAUAGUCUCAUCUCAUACAAGGCAGCGAACAAGAAAAGGGUUUGUAAACAAAACAAACAAAACAAAAAAAA